rnacentral:rRNA from 1 species
UACGAAGGGGGCUAGAGUUGUUCGGCCUCACUGGGCGAAAAGCGCACGCAGGCGGAUUGAUAAGUCGGGGGUGAAAUCCCGGGGCUUAACCUCGGAAUUGCCUUCGAUACUGUCUGUCUUGAGUUCGGGAGAGGUUGGCGGAAUUCCUAGUGUAGAGGUGAAAUUCGUAGAUAUUAGGAAGAACACCAGUGGCGAAGGCGGCCAACUGGCCCGAAACUGACGCUCAUGUGCGAAAGCGUGGGGAGCAAACAGG